CCACACACGACGAUGUAUUUAGGCCCCGGCUCGCUCGCAACGGGGCAGUGACCGAAGGUGACCUGCACAACACAGUUCAAACAUGUCUCCGCACACCAUCGCCGCCGUGCACGUCGUCGUGCACCACCACCCACGCCACCGCGCUCCGCCGCCUCGCCACUGCUCCGGCGGCGGCGUCUGCGUCGUCCGAGCCUCGGCCGCCACCGCCACCACCACCUCCGGGGCCUCGGCGACGGCCGCGACGGACUCGCCGUCCGCGGCGUUCUGGGACUACAACCUCCUCUUCCGGUCGCAGCGCGCCGAGUCCCCGGACCCCGUGGCGCUCCGCGUCACCGAGGGCGCGAUCCCGCCGGACUUCCCCGCGGGCACCUACUACCUCGCGGGCCCCGGGAUGUUCACCGACGACCACGGCUCCACCGUCCACCCGCUCGACGGGCACGGCUACCUCCGCGCCUUCCACUUCGGCGGCGGCGGCGCCGACGGAGCCGCGGCCGCGCAGUACUCGGCGCGGUACGUCGAGACGGCGGCGAAGCGGGAGGAGCAGGGCGCGGGCGGCACGUCGUGGCGGUUCACGCACCGGGGCCCCUUCUCGGUGCUGCAGGGAGGGGCCCGGGUGGGCAACGUGAAGGUGAUGAAGAACGUGGCCAACACCAGCGUCCUACGCUGGGGCGGCCGCGUGCUCUGCCUCUGGGAGGGCGGCGAGCCGUACGAGCUCGACCCCCGGACGCUGGAGACCCUCGGCCCGUUCGACAUCCUCGGCCUCGGCUCCGGCGCCGGCGAGGCGCCAGCACGAGACAGUGAGGCGGCCGCGCGCCACCGGCGCAGGCGACCCUGGGUGCAGGAGGCUGGGAUCGACGUGGCCGCGUGCCUGCUUCGGCCGGUCCUCAGUGGUGUCUUCAGCAUGCCGGUCAGGAGGCUGCUGGCGCACUACAAGAUCGACCACAAGCGGAACCGGCUGCUGAUGGUGGCCUGCAACGCCGAGGACAUGCUCCUCCCGCGCUCCAACUUUACUUUCUACGAGUUCGACGCCGGCUUCGCGCUCGUGCAGAAGCGCGAGUUCGUGCUGCCGGACCACCUGAUGAUCCACGACUGGGCCUUCACGGACAACCACUACGUCCUCCUCGGCAACAGAAUCAAGCUGGACAUCCCAGGGUCGCUGCUGGCGCUGACGGGCACGCACCCGAUGAUCGCCGCCCUCGCCGUGGACCCGAGCCGGCAGUCGACGCCGGUGUACCUGCUGCCGCGCUCCCCGGAGGCCGAGGCUGGCGGCCGCGACUGGAGCGUGCCCGUCGAGGCGCCGACGCAGACGUGGUCCAUGCACGUCGCCAACGCCUUCGAGGAGCGCGACGCCGGCCGGGGCGGCGGCACCAGCGUGCGGAUCCACAUGUCCGGCUGCUCCUACCGCUGGUUCCACUUCCACAGGAUGUUCGGCUACGACUGGCACAACAAGAAGCUGGACCCGUCCUUCAUGAACGUCGCCAAGGGCAGGGAGCUGCUGCCUCGCCUUGUCCAGUGGCAGCUGAGAUGGCGUCCAAUAAUCCAAAAUGCAGGUGUCGAUCGAUCUCGACAAGAGAGGGGCGUGCCGGGGAUGCUCCGUCAGGAGGUUGUCCGACCAGUGGACCAGGCCGGCGGACUUCCCGGCGAUCAACCCGGCCUUCGCCAACCGGAGGAACCGGUUCAUCUACGCCGGCGCCCCCUCAGGUUCGCGGAAAUUCCUCCCGUAUUUCCCCUUUGACAGCGUGGUGAAGCUAGACGUCUCCGACGGAUCAGCGCGGCUGUGGACGGCGGUGGGGCGCAAGUUCGUCGGCGAGCCGGUUUUCGUGCCGACGACCGGCGGUAGGGAGGAUGACGGCUAUGUUCUGCUUGUCGAGUACGCAGUAUCUGAUCACAGGUGCCAUCUGGUGGUGCUGGAUGCAAGGAAGAUCGGCGAAAGGAAUGCUGUUGUGGCAAAACUUGAGGUGCCCAAACACCUCACCUUCCCAAUGGGAUUCCAUGGGUUCUGGGCAGAUGAAUGACACUAUAAGCAUCCAAUCUAACUCUAGCGUGUGUCGACAUGAAUGGAAAAAAUGUAAAGAGUUAUUUUUUCAUAAUGCAACAAGCAUUCGUACCA